CUUGAUUCCUUGCAUGACCCAAGCCUAAUUCUGUUCUCAUUUUCCUUCCUCCUAGAAACCUGGAUUCCAAGCCGAGAAACCAUUCCUCUGUUACUCACACAUUCUGAAGACUCCACCAAGACGUUCCAAGCCAGCUUCAUGGAACCCAUGAAGCCUUUGAUCCACACCCUGCAUAAGCCCUCCUGCCUGAGCUCGCCUGCCUGUUCACCCUCUGACCAAACAUCUGGACAACACCUACCGGUCCUGCACCUCACAUCAACAAUCCUGGACAUCACCCUCCCAAGCUCAAGCCAAACCAUCAGCCCACAAGACCCGGACAUCCAGCCUGCCGACUUCAUCUCCAUCUUUUAUUUUCUUCAAUAAAACCUUUAACUGA